rnacentral:rRNA from 1 species
AGCAGUAGCCACGGUAAUACGGAGGGAGCUAGCGUUGUUCGGAAUUACUGGGCGUAAAGCGCGCGUAGGCGGUUACUCAAGUCAGAGGUGAAAGCCCGGGGCUCAACCCCGGAACUGCCUUUGAAACUAGGUGACUAGAAUCUUGGAGAGGUCAGUGGAAUUCCGAGUGUAGAGGUGAAAUUCGUAGAUAUUCGGAAGAACACCAGUGGCGAAGGCGACUGACUGGACAAGUAUUGACGCUGAGGUGCGAAAGCGUGGGGAGCAAACAGGAUUAGAGACCCCUGUAGUCCCUGUCUCUUAUAC